CAUUAGAUAGUUAUAUACCUAUUAGCUUGCCUUCUAUCUGUUCAUCAUCUUCAACAGACACAUUUUUCAAACAACAAUAGAUCUGUUACCUAACAUACCUACUUAUCUACUGAUUUUUACAGAUAACACUCAGCCAAAUUACCGAAAAGGUAAUAAAAAGCGUUUACGUCUCUCGGCUCGAAGGAAAAAAUGUGGACCCACAAAACAAAAGAAUAAACAAGCGUUUUUAAAUGAAAACAAAGAAAACAUUGACAGUAAUGAUGUAUCACGGCUUAGUCUGGUGUUUGAAGGAAAUCGGAAUCAUCUUGACAACUAGUACAAAGGGUUUUAUUUAUAGUCCUAGAAUAAUAAAUAUCUUACACAAUUGUA